rnacentral:rRNA from 1 species
UAAAUGACUCUCGGCAACGGAUAUCUCGGCUCACGCAUCGAUGAAGAACGUAGCAAAAUGCGAUACUUGGUGUGAAUUGCAGAAUCCCGUGAACCAUCGAGUUUUUGAACGCAAGUUGCGCCCGAAGCCACUUGGUUGAGGGCACGUCUGCCUGGGCGUCCCGC